GCCUCUGAGGCCUAAUGGAUAAGGCACCAGCCUCCUAAGCUGGGGAUUGCGAGUUCGAGUCCCACCAGAGGUA
rnacentral:tRNA from 1 species